GGAAGGAUCAUUAACACUUUAUCCUUUAUAAACAACUGUGAACAUGUUUCUCUACCUAUCAAGUAGACCGUCAGUGCUUAGUGUAUGGUGGGAGUAGCCUUACAGCUGCUAGCUAACUCUGACUAGAGGCCUUCGAGCUUCAGGUUGAACUGAUAGGCUUUUUUUACAACUAUCACCAUGGUUUAUAACCAUAACCCAUAUAACAAUAAUUGAACUAAUCUAUGUUUCGCUAGCAGAAAUGCUAGUAGAAUCAAGUUAUACGAAACUAAGAACAACUCUUAGCAAUGGAUAUCUUGGUUCCCGCAACGAUGAAGAACGCAGCGAAAUGCGAUAUGUAAUGCGAAUUGCAGAAUUCAGUGAAUCAUCAAAUCUUUGAACGCAAAUUGCGCUUCCGGGACAUUCCUGGAAGCACGCCUCUUUGAGUAUCGGUUCUAUCUCAUCUCAGCAGCUUGUUGAUCUAAACAUCAGUAAGUGUUGGUUGGAAAAUGAGCGUCUAGGCUACUUGUAGUCAAGUCGCUUUAAAGAUAGAGAGCUUGGUUCUCCUAGUUUUUCAGUACUUCGGUGCUGAAUAGCUACUUCAUCUUGAAGUAACUAUGAACUAGUGACGUGGAUAAUAUCAUCUUUACGAUGUUCUUGAAACGUCAAUACUAGCCAUAUGUUGCCUCGUUAUAUAAGAUGCUGUAGCGAACGGCUAGGUUGAGCCUCGCGUUGGGAAUUAUUAUUCUUAUCCGAAUUAGAUCUCAGAUGAAGCGAGAAGACCCCCUGAAUUUAAGCAUAUUAAUAAGGGGAGGAAAAGAAACUAACAAGGAUUCCCUUAGUAACGGCGAGUGAAGCGGGAAGAGCUCAAAAUGAAAAUCGGCAACCCAAGCGGGUUGUCGAAUUGUAGCCUAGAGACGUGUUGUCAGCGUGUGACCCAGGUAUAAGUCCUUUGAAACAAGGUAUCAUAGAGGGUGAGAAUCCCGUCUUCGACCUGGAGAUUGCCGCGUACGACGCAUGUUCAUAGAGUCGAGUUGUUUGGGAUUGCAGCUCUAAUUGGGUGGUAAGUUUCAUCUAAAGCUAAAUAUUGGCGGGAGACCGAUAGCGAACAAGUACCGUGAGGGAAAGAUGAAAAGAACUUUGAAAAGAGAGUUAAAAAGUACUUGAAAUUGUUAAGAGGGAAGCGCUAGAAACCAGUUUUGCCUGUGGCUAUUUUGCUGUUUGCUUACCAAGAGCUGCGGCGUAAGUGUUUGAAGCCUUACGUUGUAGUUGGAGGAUAGGUGAGCAGUUUCAGUGGCCGCGGGCGAGUCAGAAUCAUUUCGAGUCGCGUGAGAAAGUUAUCAGGAAGGUAGGGUAGUUAGCAAUAAUUACCUGUUAUAGCCUGGUAGCCCUAGCGUGGCUUGGAUUGAGGAUUGUUAUGAUGCGCCAUUAGGCUUGGUACUUUGCUCCUGCCGAAACUUUAGUCUACCAGAACAAUGUUCUGCGGAUUAAGGUGGUUGGUACUGGGUGAAGCUACUCUAUGCAUCAUCACGAUUCUGACGAAAUGGUUUCUAUCGACCCGUCUUGAAACACGGACCAAGGAGUCUAACAUAUAUGCGAGUAUUAGGGUGGUAAACCCUUGUGCGUAAUGAAAGUAAAGGCAGCCUUGUGCUGCUGAGGUAGGAACUGGGCAACCAGGGCACUAUCGACCGAUCAUCACUUGUGAAAGAUUUGAGUAAGAGCAUAUCUGUUGGGACCCGAAAGAUGGUGAUCUAUGCCUGAACAGGGUGAAGCCAGGGGAAACUCUGGUGGAGGCUCGUAGCGAUACUGACGUGCAAAUCGUUCGUCUGAUUUGGGUAUAGGGGCGAAAGACUAAUCGAACCUUCUAGUAGCUGGUUCCCUC
rnacentral:misc_RNA from 1 species